GCCAUCACAACUGUUGCUAUUAAGUUGCUAUUUGUUUUCAAGCUGGCUGGUAUAGUCUCUCACAUCAGCAUCAGCUUCUCACCACUUUCUCUUUUGCAAGGCAACGUGUUAUUGCUGGGAGAUGGACUCAGAUGAGAAAACUGCCGUUUGGUGAUACAAAAACGUGUUAGGUUCCCCUCAGCGUAACACUUUGCUCUAACAGGUUAUACGUGCCAACCUCUUUUGGUAUUUUGUUUUACAAGUAAGAGGGGACAGCAGGCCAUCACGUAUUUUUGUAUAGCUAUGUGUACCAAACAAUCUUGUACCUGUUGUCACUUUCUUAGGGUCUUGAAAUUCCAAAGGAUUUUUAUAAUCGUCGGGACUUUUCUUCUCCUACAUCACCUCUUUGAUUUUGGUUUGUUGGAUUGCAAUAUAUGGAAUUUUGUUUGUAAGGAUUGAUUCACAGUAUUUUAUUUUUACUUAAGUUAUUAACUUUUUCGGAAGAUUCAUGUAUUUUCUCUUUUAUUACCUCCAUCCCAUAAUAGAAGAAUGUUUUUCAAGCUAUGUUAGCUUGAAAACGUUCUUAUAUUAUGGAUAUUAUGGACGUAGGGAGUAGCAAUCAAACAACCUUUGUAUAUUUAAGUUGGCACGACAUUAAGAAGAGACUUUCCUUCCCUUCUCACAAGGCGACUAGUGUAAAUCCUUCCUUUUCUCGAUCUUCGCUGGCAAGCCUGUGGAUUCACCUCCCCCUCAUUUGUCGCCCCGGCGGCCGGUGGUGUGGAAGAAAAUAUUGGUGCCUUGACUCUGGCUAGUCGACAUGUUAGGGUUUUACUCCUCGCAGGGUGGUGCUCGGAUGAAUGGCAGCGUUUCUUCUUCAAGUUAAUCUUCUGGACUUCGAUCUUCCUCGAGUUCGUCUAGCGCGAUGGAUUGGAUGGGGCUCUGACGACAUAGAUUCCCUGCCAGCUCCUCAGGGCAGAGUGUGUUCUGGGCCGAGUUUGCAUGGUGGAGAGGAGAGGAAGUGAACGAGAAGGUGUGGACAUGAGCUUUACGCAUCUGGUUACCAGCUCACGUCAAAGGCAACAUGUUAUUGCUGGGAGAUGGACUCAGAUGAGAAAACUGCCGUUUGGUGAUACAAAAACGUGUUAGGUUCCCCUCAGCGUAACACUUUGCUCUAACAGGUUAUAGGAGUACUUGCUAACCUCUUUUGGUAUUUUGUUUUGCAAGCAAGACGGGAGAGUUGGCCAUCACGUGCUCAUUUUAGUAUGUAUAGCUAAACCAAACAAUCUUGUAGAGUACUUAUUAUCACUUUCUUAGGGUCUAGAAAUUCCAAAGGAUUUUUAUUGGGACUUUUUUCUUUC